CGGGUGAGUAACACGUGGAUAACCUACCUAUAAGACUGGGAUAACUUCGGGAAACCGGAGCUAAUACCGGAUAAUAUAUUGAACCGCAUGGUUCAAUAGUGAAAGACGGUUUUGCUGUCACUUAUAGAUGGAUCCGCGCUGCAUUAGCUAGUUGGUAAGGUAACGGCUUACCAAGGCAACGAUGCGUAGCCGACCUGAGAGGGUGAUCGGCCACACUGGAACUGAGACACGGUCCAGACUCCUACGGGAGGCAGCAGCGA
rnacentral:rRNA from 1 species